rnacentral:rRNA from 1 species
GACGAACGCUGGCGGCGUGCUUAACACAUGCAAGUCGAGCGGAGCGGCGAACGGGUGAGUAACGCGUGAGUACCUGCCCCCCUCUUUGGGAUAACAGUUGGAAACGGUUGCUAAUACCGGAUAGUGGGGGAUGACUCGCGUCCUAUCAGCUUGUUGGCGGGGUUGUGACCGACCAGGGCGACGACGCGGAGGCUGCAUGAGAGGGCGACCGGCCACAUUGGUCUGAGAUACGGCCGGAACUCCGACGGGAGGCAGCAGUGGGGGAUAGUGCACCAUGGGGGAAACGCUGAUGCAGCAACGCCGCGUUAGGGAUGACGGCCUUCGGGUUGUAAACCGCUUUCAGCCAUGACGCGGUAGUGGCAGAAGAAGCACCGGCUAACUCCGUGCCAGCAGCCGCGGUAAUUC